rnacentral:lncRNA from 1 species
UUCACUUCAUUUUCAUUAUUGAUGAAGAUAAUUUAUUUUAGGAUAUCUUAUUCUUAUAUUCAUCAAAUUUGAGAAAUCUUGUGUAAUCUUUAGACACUUAAUCUAUCUCAGUUGUGUGUGUUGGAUAUGAUAGAUGGAUAUUCGCUAAUAGACUAAAAUUUGUCAAAAUAUUUUCAAUUAUGAGAUUGUCUAAUUUAGGGGGAGUUUGAAAUUAUUUAAAAAAAAGGAGGAAAAAAGGAAACUCCUAUGUGUAAAAGAUGUGGAAAGAGUUACAUCCAAAAAGGAGUGUGAAAACUACCACCACAUGUAGGAAAGAACUACCACCCCGGUCGUCCGGCAAGUGUGUGAAGCUACCACAUGAAGAUUGAGUUGAAUAACCGAAAAGGCUGAAAAAAAAUUUGAAUAUUUUAGAAUUUUCGGAGUUAUAAGGUGUUAGUUUGAAAAAAAAAAUAAAAAGAUGCUCAAAGAGCCACCCCCGGUAUCAUAUUAGUUAAAUCUCUAUUUUGAACGGAUUGCGACAAAUUGGUGUCAAUUUUGCCGAAUUUCUAAAAAUUAUUUUUCGUGAAUCGUUACAUCUUGAUGAUUUUGAAACUUGAGGUCGUUUUUGAUAAUGAAAUUUUUGUGUUUCAAUGUAUUUUGAAAUCUUAUAAUAUUUUACCUCUAUUAUAAUGAUUUUUGGAGUAAAGUCCUUAAUUCGUAUGAAAUUAAUUUAAGUUUAAAAAGUUUUUAAAAUUCAAAAUUUUCGAAAUCCGGCAAAGUGUAU